rnacentral:rRNA from 1 species
AUUGAACGCUGGCGGCAGGCCUAACAAAUGCAAGUCGAGCGGAGCGGCGGACGGGUGAGUAAUGCCUAGGAAACUGCCUGGUAGUGGGGGAUAACGUACGGAAACGGGCGCUAAUAACGCCUACUAUCAGAUGAGCCGAGGUCGGAUUAGCUCGUGGGUGGGGUAAAGGCCUACCUAGGCGACGAUCACUAGCUGGUCUGAGAGGAUGACCAUCCACACUGGAACUGAGACACGGUCCAGACUCCUACGUGAGGCAGCAGUGGGGAAUAUUGCACAAUGGGCGCAAGCCUGAUGCAGCCAUGCCGCGUGUAUGAAGAAGGCCUUCGGGGUGUAAAGUACUUUCAGCGGGGAGGCGUUACCCGCAGAAGAAGCACCGGCUAACUCCGUGCCAGCAGCCGCGGUAAUUC